CCUACGGGAGGCAGCAGUGGGGAAUUUUGCGCAAUGCUCGUAAGAGUGACGCAGCGACGCCGCGUGAGUGAAGAAGUAUUUCGGUAUGUUAAGCUCUAUCAGCAGGGAAGAAAAUGACGGUACCUGACUAAGAAGCCCCGGCUAACUACGUGCCAGCAGCCGCGGGAAUACGUAGGGGGCAAGCGUUAUCCGGAUUUACUGGGGGUAAAGGGAGCGCAGACGGGUGUGCAAGUCUGGGGUGAAAGGCGGGGGCCCAACCCCCGGACUGCUCUGGAAACUGUGAGGCUGGAGUGCAGGAGAGGUAAGCGGAAUUCCUGGUGUAGCGGUGAAAUGCGUAGAUAUUAGGAGGAACACCAGUGGCGAAGGCGGCUUACUGGACUGCAACUGACGUUGAGGCUCGAAAGCGUGGGGAGCAAACAGGAUUAGAUACCCCUGUAGUC
rnacentral:rRNA from 1 species